AUUGAACGCUGGCGGCAGGCCUAACACAUGCAAGUCGAGCGGAUGAAGGGAGCUUGCUCCUGGAUUCAGAGGCGGACGGGUGAGUAAUGCCUAGGAAUCUGCCUGGUAGUGGGGGAUAACGUCCGGAAACGGGCGCUAAUACCGCAUACGUCCUGAGGGAGAAAGUGGGGGAUCUUCGGACCUCACGCUAUCAGAUGAGCCUAGGUCGGAUUAGCUAGUUGGUGGGGUAAAGGCCUACCAAGGCGACGAUCCGUAACUGGUCUGAGGGGAUGAUCGGUCACACUGGAACUGAGGCACGGUCCAGACUCCUACGGGAGGCAGCAGUGGGGAAUAUUGGACAAUGGGCGAAAGCCUGAUCCAGCCAUGCCGCGUGUGUGAAGAAGGUCUUCGGAUUGUAAAGCACUUUAAGUUGGGAGGAAGGGCAGUAAGUUAAUACCUUGCUGUUUUGACGUUACCAACAGAAUAAGCACCGGCUAACUUCGUG
rnacentral:rRNA from 1 species